rfam:Medicago truncatula strain A17 chromosome 6, whole genome shotgun sequence.
UUCAGGGACUUUAGUCGCAGGAGAGAUGACACCUUCUAUUACUAAUGACAUGAUUUUAUAGCAAUUUUAACAGAAGUUGUCAUCUUUCUUUGACUGAAGUUCAUAUGCAU